rnacentral:lncRNA from 1 species
GAUGUAUUUUUUUCAGGUCUUCAAAAUAUGUUUCUUCUACAUCAUUAGGAUGAACACACAUUUCAUAUGUUAUCUUUGAAAAAGGCCUUUUAUUUUCAAGCUGGCAUUGGAAUCUCGGCCAACAUAUUUCUUCUUCUCUGGCACAUUUUUAUAUUCUUUAAGGAUCACAAGCCUAAAAACCAUGACCUGAUCAUCUGUCACUUGACCUUUGUUCACAUACUGAUGCUAGUCAUUGCAGCAAAGCUAUUGUCUCCAGAUGGGUUUGAGUCACAGAAUUUUCAGAAUAACUUCAGAUGUAAGGCUGUGUUCUACACAUACAAGGCAAUGAGGGGCCUCUUGAUCUGCACAACCUCUCUCCUGAGCAUGCUUCAGGCCAUCACCAUUAGCCCCAGCACCUCCUGGUUGGUGAGAUUUAAACAUAAAAUCACAAAAUACAAUAUCCUGGCUUUAUUAUUCUUUGGUCCCUCAAUUUUUCUUUCAACAGUGACAUGAUUAUCUACAUUGUAGGUUUUUCCAGUGUGACCCAGAUAAUUCUGAAUGUCAGUAAAUACUGCUCACUUUCCCCAAUGAAUGUCACCAUCAGAAGGCUGUUUGUUACUCUGUCGUUAUCCAGAGAUGUCUUCCUUGUAGGAAUCAUGCCGCUCUCAAGUGCCUACAUGGUGAUUCUCUUGUCCAGGCAUCAGAGGCGCUCCCAGCACCUUCACAGCACUAGCUUUUUAUUAAGAACCUCCCCAGAGAAAAGGGCCACCAAGACCAUCUUGCUGCUGGUGAGUUUCUUUGUGGUUAUGUACUCAUUGGACUUAAUUGUCUCAUCCUCCACAAUGUUGUUAUGGGUAUUCAGCCCUGUCAUCUACAGUGUCCACAAGUUUAUGGUCAAUGCCUAUGCCACUGUCAGUCCUAUGGUGCUAAUCAGAUCUGAUAAAAGAAUCAUCAGUAUUCUG